AGGGUCUUUUGCAGAUCCAGAUUUUGCUCCCAUGAUUGACAAUAACACUGACUCUACCAAAAGGACCAAGAAGGAUAAGGCCAUUAUGUAUGCAAGAGGGCCUGGUCCUUUCCUAGGUUCGCCUUGCAGGCUGUACCCCAUGGAUGGCCCUUCAUCACCAGCUCUUACCCCUCCUCCACCAGCUCCUCCACAUACUCAAUUGUGUUUGCAUCUCCGAAACUUCCCUCACAAUUUCCUGAGACUUUGCCUGUGUUCCUGCUGUCUCAGCCCUAAUACCCACUCUCAGUGGGGCCA